rnacentral:rRNA from 1 species
AACGAACGCUGGCGGCAGGCUUAACACAUGCAAGUCGAACGCCCUCUUCGGAGGGAGUGGCAGACGGGUGAGUAACACGUGGGAACCUACACUUCGGUUCGGAAUAACUUAGGGAAACUUAAGCUAAUACCGGAUACGCCCUUUGGGGGAAAGAUUUAUCGCCGAAGAAUGGGCCCGCGUUAGAUUAGCUAGUUGGUAGGGUAACGGCCUACCAAGGCUACGAUCUAUAGCUGGUUUGAGAGGAUGAUCAGCCACACUGGGACUGAGACACGGCCCAGACUCCUACGGGAGGCAGCAGUGAGGAAUCUUCGGCAAUGGGCGCAAGCCUGACCGAGCCAUGCCGCGUGAGUGAAGAAGGCCCUAGGGUUGUAAAGCUCUUUCAACGGUGAAGAUAAUGACGGUAACCGUAAAAGAAGCCCCGGCUAACUUCG